rnacentral:rRNA from 1 species
CUAGGACCUUUUGAGGGCUUCGGCCCAAAGAAGAGUAAUUCCGGUCUGUGCCAGGAAAAACCUCUAAGGGAGUUUUAUUUGUGCCCGUACCGUAAACCGACACAGGUAGACGAGGCGAAUAGCCUAAGGUGCUCGAGACAACUCGGGAGAAGGAACUCGGCAAAUUAACCCCGUAACUUCGGGAUAAGGGGAGCCUCCAUUUGUUAGUGUGAACAGCACAAAGCAUAAGGAGGCCGCAGAGAAAUGGCAGAAGCGACUGUUUACCAAAAACACAGGGCUAUGCAAACCCGUAAGGGAAAGUAUAUAGUCUGACACGUGCCCGGUGCUGGAAGGUUAACAGGAGAUGUCAGCGCAAGCGAAGCAUUGAAUCGAAGCCCCAGUAAACGGCGGCCGUAACGAUAACGGUCCUAAGGUAGCGAAAUUCCUUGUCGGGUAAGUUCCGACCUGCACGAAUCGUGUAACGACUUCUGCACUGUCUCCUCCCGGGACUCGGCGAAAUUGCAGUGUCGGUGAAGAUGCCGACAACCCGCACCUGGACGGAAAGACCCCAUGAACCUUCACUGUAUUUUGACAUUGGUUUUAGGCUUGACAUGUGUAGGAUAGGUGGGAGGCUUUGAAGCGGUGACGCCAGUCAUCGUGGAGCCAUCCUUGAAAUACCACCCUUGUCCGGUUUGAGAUCUAACCGUGGCCCGUCAUCCGGGUCCGGGACCGUGUCUGAUGGUCAGUUUGACUGGGGCGGUCGCCUCCUAAAUGGUAACGGAGGCAUCCAAUGGUUCCCUCAGCGCGGUCGGUAAUCGCGCGUAGAGCAUAAAGGCAUAAGGGAGCUUGACUGCGAGACAGACAUGUCGAGCAGGUACGAAAGUAGGGCUUAGUGAUCCCGCGGUACAGCGUGGAACGGCCGUUGCUCAAUGGAUAAAGGUACUCUGGGGAUAACAGGCUGAUCUCCCCCAAGCGUUCAUAGCGACGGGGAGGUUUGGCACCUCGAUGUCGGCUCGUCGCAUCCUGGGGCUGGAGAAGGUCCCAAGGGUUUGGCUGUUCGCCAAUUAAAGCGGCACGCGAGCUGGGUUCAGAACGUCGUGAGACAGUUCGGUCCCUAUCCGGUGUGGGCGCACGUAAUUUGAGGGAACCUGUCCUUAGUACGAGAGGACCGGGACGGACGCACCUCUGGUGUACCGGCUGUCACGCCAGUGGCAUUGCCGGGUAGCUAUGUGCGGAUUGGAGAAACGCUGAAAGCAUCUAAGCGUGAAGCCAUUCCCAAGAUUAGAUUUCGCGGGGGCAACCCCCUAAAGGAUUGUUAGAGACCAUAACGUUGAUAGGUCACAGGUGUAAGCAUAGCGAUAUGUUGAGCCGAGUGAUACUAAUAGUCCGUGAGGCUUCUAA